UACGGAGGGUGCAAGCGUUAUCCGGAUUCACUGGGCGUAAAGCGUGCGCAGGCGGUCUGCUAAGAGAGGGGUGAAAUCCCCGGGCUUAACCUGGGAACUGCGCUUCUAACUGGCAGGCUUGAGUGUGGCAGAGGGGGGUGGAAUUCCACGUGUAGCAGUGAAAUGCGUAGAGAUGUGGAGGAACACCGAUGGCGAAGGCAGCCCCCUGGGCUAACACUGACGCUCAUGCACGAAAGCGUGGGGAGCAAACAGG
rnacentral:rRNA from 1 species